UACGAAGGGGGAGCUAGCGUUGUUCGGAAUUACUGGGCGUAAAGCGCGCGCAGGCGGUCUUCCAAGUCAGUGGUGAAAGCCCCGGAGCUCAACUCCGGAACUGCCAUUGAAACUGUGAGACUUGAGGAUGAGAGAGGUGAGUGGAAUUCCCAGUGUAGAGGUGAAAUUCGUAGAUAUUGGGAAGAACACCGGUGGCGAAGGCGGCUCACUGGCUCAUUUCUGACGCUCAGGCGCGACAGCGUGGGGAUCAAACAGG
rnacentral:rRNA from 1 species